UACGUAGGGUGCGAGCGUUUGUCCGGAAUUAUUGGGCGUAAAGGGCUCGUAGGCGGUUUGUCGCGUCGGGAGUGAAAACCAGGUGCUUAACACCUGGCUUGCUUUCGAUACGGGCAGACUAGAGGUAUGCAGGGGAGAACGGAAUUCCUGGUGUAGCGGUGAAAUGCGCAGAUAUCAGGAGGAACACCGGUGGCGAAGGCGGUUCUCUGGGCAUGACCUGACGCUGAGGAGCGAAAGCGUGGGGAGCGAACAGG
rnacentral:rRNA from 1 species